GAUGAACGCUGGCGGCGUGUCUAAGGCAUGCAAGUCGUAUGGGUUUAGGCCCAUGGCAAACGGGAGAGGAACACAUUGGUAACCUACCCUGGGGACGCGUAUAACCCCGAGAAAUCGGGGAUAAUUCGCGAUAAAAGUGGGGGGACGAAAGUCAAUCCCACUUAAAGCAGCAAUGCGCCUCAGGAGGGGCCUAUGUCUUAUCAGCUAGUUGGUGAGGUAAGAGCUCACCUAGGCGAUGACGAGUAGCGGGUGUGAGAGCAUGGCCCGCCUCACUGGGACUGAGACACUGCCCAGACUCCUACGGGAGGCUGCAGUCAAGAAUCUUCCUCAAUGGCCGAAAGGCUGAAGGAGCGACGCCGCGUGUAUGAAGAGGCCCCGCGGGGUGUAAAGUACUUUUAUUAGGGACGAAUACAUGACGGUACCUAAUGAAUAAGGAGCUGCUAACCUCGUGCCAGCAGCAGCGGUAAUACGAGGGCUCCAAGCGUUAUCCGGAUUUAUUGGGCGUAAAGGGUCCGUAGGCGGUCUAUCACAUCUCCUGUUAAAUCCCGAGGCUUAACUUCGGAAUCGCGGGAGAGAUGGACAGACUAGAGGCCGGACAAGGCAAGCGGAAUUGCUGGUGUAGGGGUUAAAUCCGUUAAUAUCAGCAGGAACACCAAAUGCGAAAGCAACUUGCUAGGACGGUCCUGACGCUCAGGGACGAAAGCGUGGGGAGCGAAUGGGAUUAGAUACCCCAGUAGUCCACGCUGUAAACGAUGGAUGCUAAGCAUUGGCAGUUUCGACCCUGUCAGUGCUGUUUAUUUAAGCUAACGCCUUAAGCAUCCCGCCUGGGGAGUACGGCCGCAAGGCUAAAACUCAAAGGAAUAGACGGGGACCCGCACAAGCGGUGGAGCAUGUGGUUCAAUUCGACGAUAAGCGAGGAACCUCACCAAGGUUCGACAUCUAGCUGCAGACUCCUGGAAACAGGAGGGCCUUCGAGGGUGCUAGACAGGUGCUGCAUGGUUGUCGUCAGCUCGUGUCGUGAGAUGUACCGUUAAGUCGGGAAACGAGCGCAACCCCUAUCCUAUGUUUCAAGUGUCAUAGGAAACUGCCCGUUUUAAAUGGGAGGAAGGUGGGGAUGACGUCAAAUCAGCAUGGUCCUUACACCUUGGGCUACACACGUGCUACAAUGGAAGGUACAAAGGGAAGCCAAACCGUAAGGUGGAGCAAACCCCACAAAACCUUUCUCAGUUCGGAUUGAGGUCUGCAACUCGACCUCAUGAAGCUGGAAUCGCUAGUAAACGCAGAUCAGCCAUGCUGCGUUGAAUACGUUCUCGGGUCUUGUACUCACCGCCCGUCACACCAAGAGAGCCGACAAUACCCGAAAGUCGCGCCUAGCGCGGACGAAGGUAGGGUUGGUAAU
rnacentral:rRNA from 1 species